rnacentral:rRNA from 1 species
UUUGAUGGCGACCGGCGCACGGGUGAGUAACACGUAUCCAACCUGCCGAUGACUCGGGGAUAGCCUUUCGAAAGAGAGAUUAAUACCCGAUGGCAUAGUUCUUCCGCAUGGUAGAACUAUUAAAGAAUUUCGGUCAUCGAUGGGGAUGCGUUCCAUUAGGUUGUUGGCGGGGUAACGGCCCACCAAGCCUUCGAUGGAUAGGGGUUCUGAGAGGAAGGUCCCCCACAUUGGAACUGAGACACGGUCCAAACUCCUACGGGAGGCAGCAUG